CCUACGGGUGGCUGCAGUAGGGAAUUUUGCGCAAUGGGCGAAAGCCUGACGCAGCAACGCCGCGUGAUCGAGACGCCCUUCGGGGUGUAAAGGUCUGUCAGUGGGGACGAAACUUGACGGUACCCACAGACGAAGCCCCGGCUAACUCCGUGCCAGGCGCCGCGGUAAUACGGGGGGUGCAAGCCUUGUCCGGAAUCAUCGGGCGUAAAGAGUUCGUAGGGGGAACGUAAAGUCUGGUGUUAAAGGCAGAGGCCCAACUUCUGUACGGCACUUGAUACUUGCGAGCUAGAAUGCGGUAGAGGUAAAUGGAAUUCCUGGUGUAGCGGUGAAAUGCUUAGAUAUCAGGAGGAACACCGGUGGCGUAAGCGCUUUACUGGGCCGUAAUUGACGCUGAGGAACGAAAGCCAGGGUAGCAAAUGGGAUUAGAUACCCUUGUAGUC
rnacentral:rRNA from 1 species